rnacentral:rRNA from 1 species
UACGUAGGAGGCAAGCGUUGUCCGGAAUCACUGGGCGUAAAGCGCGUGUAGGUGGUGCGACAAGUCUGCUGUGAAAGCGCCUGGCUUAACCGGGCGAGGUCGGCGGAAACUGACGUACUGGAGGCCGGUAGAGGGGGGUGGAAUUCCCGGUGUAGUGGUGAAAUGCGUAGAGAUCGGAAAGAACACCAACGGCGAAAGCACUCUGCUGGGCCGACACUGACACUGAGAGACGAAAGCUAGGGGAGCGAAUGGG